CGCCUCCGAAUCCUCACCACCAAUUCCAAUCCCCACCACCUUCGAUGCCACCGCCGCCGUCAGCGGCGCUGCCUAAGGCGUUCGACCUGGAGGUUACUGUCGUCUCCGGGAAGCACCUGAAGAAUGUCAACUGGCGCCGCGGCGACCUCCGUGCCUACGCCGUGGUCUACCUCGACCCCUCCCGCCGCGCCGCCACCCGCCCCGACGAUGGCGGCGGGUGCAAACCAACCUGGAACGAGCGCCUCGUCCUCCCGCUUCCGCCCCACCUCUCCCCGCACGACCCCUCCAUCCUCCUGUCCCUCGACGUUUUCCACUCUAAGCCCUCCGAUUCGCCCAAGCCGCUCGUCGGAUCCGCCCGCUCUCCUCUCCGCGACCUCCUCUACCCCGCAAACCCUAACCCUAGCCACGAUCCCGCAGCCUCCGCUCUCGUCAGCCUGCCUCUCCUCCGCCCUUCCGGCCGUCCACAGGGAAAGAUCCGCGUCCGCGUCGCCAUCCGCGAGCGCUCGCCGCCUCCUCCUGAGCCGCAAUACCCUCCGCCUUCCAGCUCCCCAUACUACUUUCCACCGCCUCCUCCCGCCUACUCGGCCCCGCCGCAGUACGGAUCCGACCAGUACUAUCGCCCCAGUGGGUACUACUCUGCACCUGCACCUCCACCACCUCAGUAUGAGUACACUGGAGGGCCCUCUGCACCGGUGGACUACAACAGGCAAUAUGAGCAGAGAGGGAGGACUGGGGGCGGUGGUAGUGGCAGUGGGAAUGGAAGGUAUGGAGUAGGCACUGGGCUUGCGGUCGGUGCUGUGGCUGGAGCUCUC
rnacentral:lncRNA from 1 species